rnacentral:rRNA from 1 species
GACGAACGCUGGCGGCGUGCCUAAUACAUGCAAGUAGGACGCAGUUGCGAACGGGUGAGUAACGCGUAGGUAACUACCUAUUAGAGGGGGAUAACUAUUGGAAACGAUAGCUAAUACCGCAUACUAGUAGAUGGACCUGCGUUGUGUUAGCUAGUAGGUAGGGUAAUGGCCUACCUAGGCAACGAUACAUAGCCGACCUGUGAGGGUGGUCGGCCACACUGGGACUGGAGCACCGCCCAGACUCCUACGGGAGGCAGCAGUAGGGAAUCUUCGGCAAUGGGGGGAACCCUGGCCGAGCAACGCCGGGUGGGUGAAGGAAGUUUUCGGAUCGUAAAGCUCUUUUGUUAAGGAAGCGGUACUUAACCAGAAAGGGACGGCUAACUACGUGCCAGCAGCCGCGGUAAUAC